rnacentral:lncRNA from 1 species
AGGCAUUUUGACAUAUCUCUGCACUGUUAACCGAGGUGAUGUAACUCUUGUCUAGGCUGUGCCCACAGGGGGAUUGAGACAUAUCUCUGCCCUGAUCCCGAGGUGAUCCAAUUCUUGCCUGGUCUCUGCCUACUGGGGACAUUGUGACAUAUCUCUGCAAUGAUCUCCCAGGUGCUGUAACUUUAGUUUAGGCUCCGUCUACAUGGCAUUGUCACAUAGCA